UACGUAGGUGGCAAGCGUUGUCCGGAUUUACUGGGCGUAAAGAGCGCGCAGGCGGCCAAGUCAGUCGAAUGUGAAAGCCCCCGGCUUAACUGGGGAGGGUCAUUCGAUACUGCUCGGCUCGAAGACAGGAGAGGGAAGUGGAAUUCCCGGUGUAGUGGUGAAAUACGUAGAUAUCGGGAGGAACACCAGUGGCGAAGGCGGCUUUCUGGCCUGUUCUUGACGCUGAGGCGCGAAAGCUAGGGGAGCGAACGGG
rnacentral:rRNA from 1 species